CGGCUUCCUACGGGAGGCAGCAGUGGGGAAUAUUGCGCAAUGGGGGAAACCCUGACGCAGCGACGCCGCGUGGAUGAUGAAGGCCUUCGGGUUGUAAAGUCCUGUUCUGGGGGACGAAACCUUAAGGGUCCAAUAGGCCCUUAAGCUGACGGUACCCCAAGAGAAAGCUCCGGCUAAUUAUGUGCCAGCAGCCGCGGUAAUACAUAAGGAACAAGCGUUAUCCGGAAUUAUUGGGCGUAAAGAGCUCGUAGGCGGUCUUAAAAGUCAGUUGUGAAAUUAUCAGGCUCAACCUGAUAAGGUCAUCUGAAACUCUAUGACUUGAAGUUAGAAGAGGAAAGUGGAAUUCCCGGUGUAGCGGUGAAAUGCAUAGAUAUCGGGAGGAACACCAGUGGCGAAGGCGGCUUUCUGGUCUAUCUCUGACGCUGAGGAGCGAAAGCUAGGGGAGCAAACGGGAUUAGAUACCCUAGUAGU
rnacentral:rRNA from 1 species